rnacentral:rRNA from 1 species
AUGAAGGUAAUAGCCUAGAACUGCCGGGGGCUUGGGAACCCAUCGGCAGUUCGGAGCCUUCUAGACCUCCAGAGGGUGGAAGAGCCCGACAUCCUUUUCCUUUCAGAAACAAAGAUGAAGGAAAAGGAGUUGGAUUUCUUCAGGUGGCAGAUGAAUAUGGUAAAUAUGGUGGCAAGAGACUGUGAAGGGCGGAGUGGCGGUCUGGCUCUUUUCUGGAGAAGGGGAGUUGAGGUGAAUCUGUGA